UGUCAGCCCCUCUCGGGCCAGGAGCAGGAAAAGAUAGAAGGGAUCUCUAUCUGUCCCAGCACGCCCGCGGGAGGCGAAUCGGCACUAGGGGGAAGCCGAGCCCUGCGCAGCCGCCUCGGCGCUGGCGCCCGCCCCGGUCGGGCCCGGCCCCUCCCGCCCGCCGUGCGAGGCUGCUGCCGGGGUGAGGGCGAGGCCGGGCCUGGAGCGGGGCUGGCCGCUUGCUUCUCAAAGCGACCGGCGACAGGGGGAGUUGUCUAAGCGAAAUGCUUGGGUACAGGACGAAGCGAGGCGGCCUCUCCGCGCAGCAGCCGGGCCCGGGCUGCCGGGGGUGCGCCUGGCGGGUCCCGCCUGCUGCCCCCCCGCCGCGGCCUCGGGGGAGGAGGAGGGGAACCAAAUGGAAGCGCGAGCAGCAUGGCGGCGGGUAGGCUGAGUGUGAAAACCCGACUCGAAGGGUGCUAUUAGCCGCCUCCCCCCCUGCCCCCUUCCCGCAAGUUGCUUUCCUUUGCAAAUGCGUUUUCAAAGUACAGGGCUCCUGCUGACGUGGUCAGAUUUGCACCCUUGGAUAUCCAGGGUCUGACAUCCCGGUUCGGAAGCUAAAGAGGAUCAAACGCCUCUGCUGGCUUUAAAAGCAAUAAAACUUUACACGUCCUUUCCUUUUCCCCUUCCCAUUUGUCCCCCGGCUGAGAAAACGCGGGAGGGAACGG